UCCCAUUAACAGCUUUUGUAUAGUUGCAUUGCUACAUCCAGUCCUUUGCAAUUUUGUCAAAUAUCUUCUUAGCUUUAUGCUCUUUUAUUCUUGUUUCCAGUAUACCAAUUAUAUCAACUUUAUUAUCAUUAAGGAAUUGCUUCAAUUCCUUCUGCUUUGGGGACUGGUUAAGUCCCCUAAUGUUCCAUGUGACUGCUAUCAUGGAUCAANN
rnacentral:lncRNA from 1 species